GCCUAAUACAUGCAAGUCGAGCGAACGGACGAGAAGCUUGCUUCUCUGAUGUUAGCGGCGGACGGGUGAGUAACACGUGGAUAACCUACCUAUAAGACUGGGAUAACUUCGGGAAACCGGAGCUAAUACCGGAUAAUAUUUUGAACCGCAUGGUUCAAAAGUGAAAGACGGUCUUGCUGUCACUUAUAGAUGGAUCCGCGCUGCAUUAGCUAGUUGGUAAGGUAACGGCUUACCAAGGCAACGAUGCAUAGCCGACCUGAGAGGGUGAUCGGCCACACUGGAACUGAGACACGGUCCAGACUCCUACGGGAGGCAGCAGUAGGGAAUCUUCCGCAAUGGGCGAAAGCCUGACGGAGCAACGCCGCGUGAGUGAUGAAGGUCUUCGGAUCGUAAAACUCUGUUAUUAGGGAAGAACACAUGUGUAAGUAACUGUGCACAUCUUGACGGUACCUAAUCAGAAAGCCACGGCUAACUACGUGCCAGCAGCCGCGGUAAUACGUAGGUGGCAAGCGUUAUCCGGAAUUAUUGGGCGUAAAGCGCGCGUAGGCGGUUCUUUAAGUCUGAUGUGAAAGCCCACGGCUCAACCGAGGAGGGUCAUUGGAAACUGGAAAACUUGAGUGCAGAAGAGGAAAGUGGAAUUCCAUGUGUAGCGGUGAAAUGCGCAGAGAUAUGGAGGAACACCAGUGGCGAAGGCGACUUUCUGGUCUGUAAC
rnacentral:rRNA from 1 species